CGGGGUGCAGCAGGCGCGAAAACUUUACAAUGCUGGCAACAGCGAUAAGGGGACCUCGAGUGCCAGGAUACAAUCUUGGCUGUCGUGAUGCCUAAAAAGCAUUACAUAGCAAGGGCCGGGCAAGACCGGUGCCAGCCGCCGCGGUAACACCGGCGGCUCGAGUGGUAACCGCUAUUAUUGGGUCUAAAGGGUCUGUAGCCGGCCGGAUAAGUCUCUUGGGAAAUCCAGCAGCUCAACUGUUGGGCUUCCAGGGGAUACUGUUCGGCUCGAGGCCGGGAGAGGUGAGAGGUACUUCAGGGGUAGGGGUGAAAUCUUGUAAUCCUUGAAGGACCACCAGUGGCGAAGGCGUCUCACCAGAACGGUCCUGACGGCAAGGGACGAAAGCUAGGGGCACGAACCGGAUUAGAUACCCGGGUAGUCCUAGCCGUAAACGAUACUCGCUAGGUGUCGGCCACGGUGCGACCGUGGUCGGUGCCGUAGGGAAGCCGUGAAGCGAGCCACCUGGGAAGUACGGCCGCAAGGCUGAAACUUAAAGGAAUUGGCGGGGGAG
rnacentral:rRNA from 1 species